GAGAGUGUUCAGCCCAGCUCUUCAUCGUCAAUUCUCCAAGAACAUAGGCAAUUAGGCAAUUGUCCAACUGGUGGUCAAGGCCAAGGAGCGCUCCGGGUCGUACCCUUACACACUCCCACACAUUUGUAUGCUUAGGAAAGAAGGGCACAAGUGAAUGCCCAACAAGUAACAAGAACUAUUUUGUAUUGGGCUUGGCUAGAAGAAAAUUCAGUUUUUGCAGUCACAUGACGUCCAUACAGCGAUUGUCCAAUGUUUUCCUAGAUUAACCAACUGUGGUGGAUAUGAACUUCUGCAGACACGCGGUACUUCCAAAUUUCUGGAAGUAAUUCCAUAUUUUAAAAGCAUGGGAGCAUGUAAAAUAUACAUCCGCCCUAUUCAACAAGACUUAGUUGGUGAAGCAACACAACAAUCAUGCAGAAUGUUACAGGUUCGAGAGAAGUGCCAUGUAUGUGGUGAAAAGUUCUCUAUGUCAAUACUUCGACAACACAUUGAGAGUCACGACCAAGGACCAUCAAGUGUUGCUAUACAGCCUACCUCAAAAGCGCAAUGUAAAUAUACAGGUCCCGUAAUUGACUUGUUUCCUCAAGCUCGAAAGUGAUUGAUAUUACCCGUCGAUUUGAAAUAUCUGAUGCCGUUGAACACCUUUUGCAAUGGGGGUACUCCAACCAAAUUUCCUCCAUUGACCUCUCAAAUAUCACUGGGAUUUCCCUACCAGUCGUGUUCUCAAGUAUACUGACUGGAAGUAAUGAUUUGCAGGAAGAUAUUCCUUCCCUUCAAGAUGUACCCGUUUCUGCUGCGGCGACAUAUGACCUCAUUCAAUUAAUCGCAAAGCUGGAUGUCGCCAAGACGAAUGAGGAAAUCAAUGAAGUAAUUGAUGAAUGAAGUAAUUGAUGAUCCAGUUUCCAUGGCUCUAAUCAACUCGUUUGGCUGGUCUCCAGUCAAAACCAUCAAUUUGUGCACCAAGAAAAUUUGUGCACCAAGAACCAACUCCUCCAACGUGAGAAGCAACUUGCUGCCUUUAGAAAGGGUUUGGAUGUCCUGCGUCUUGUUCAAAUGAAUCCAGAGUUGAGAGCGUUAUUUGUGCAUAGCAAGUUGAAUAUGGAGGGGUCUGAGUUGUUAAGCUUGCUGGAUACUAUGUUCAAGUUUCCCCAGCGUACAAGAUGUUUCUCGAAUAUAUGAACAAUCGGCCUAAAGGUGGUGAUGGUAAUGAUGCUACAGUAGAGCACUGGACAUCGCUGCCUGCCUCCGAUGGGAUUGUCUACCCCAAUUAAAGUGGAGCUCCUCCAAGAAAAUCGUUCUCUACCAACAGCUGCUGCGUGCUUCAACGUUAUUUCACUACCGAUUAUACACGAAAAUAUUGUAGAAUAAAGGUAUAUUGUAUUCACUGAAUCAUUACGGACUAAUG